UACAGAGGUCCCGAGCGUGUUCGGAUUUACUGGGCGUAAAGGGCGCGUAGGCGGCCACCGCAAGUCAGUUGUGAAAGCUCUGGGCUUAACCCAGAAAGGUCAACUGAUACUGCGGGGCUAGAGUGCAGAAGGGGCAACUGGAAUUCUCGGUGUAGCGGUGAAAUGCGUAGAUAUCGAGAGGAACACCUGCGGCGAAGGCGGGUUGCUGGGCUGACACUGACGCUGAAGUGCGAAAGCUAGGGGAGCGAACGGG
rnacentral:rRNA from 1 species